AUUGAACGCUGGCGGCAGGCUUAACACAUGCAAGUCGAGCGAGCGGCGGACGGGUGAGUAAUGUCGGGGAAACUGCCUGAUGGAGGGGGAUAACUACUGGAAACGGUCGCUAAUACCACAUACCCUCAGAUGUGCCUAGAUGGGAUUAGCUAGUCGGUGGGGUAAUGGCUCACCUAGGCGAAGAUCCCUAGCUGGUCUGAUAGGAUGACCAGCCAAACUGGAACUGAGACCCGGAACAGAAUCCGACGGGAGGCAGCAGUGGGUAAUAUUGCACAAUGGGCGCAAGCCUGAUGCAGCCAUGCCGCGGGUGUGAAGAAGGCCUUCGGGUUGUAAAGCACUGUCAGCGGGGAGGCGUUACUCGCAGAAGAAGCACCGGCUAACUCCGUGCCAGCAGCCGCGGUAAUAC
rnacentral:rRNA from 1 species